rnacentral:rRNA from 1 species
AUUGAACGCUGGCGGCAGGCCUAACACAUGCAAGUCGAACGAGUGGCGGACGGGUGAGUAAUGUCUGGGAACCUGCCUGAUGGAGGGGGAUAACUACUGGAAACGGUAGCUAAUACCGCAUACCAUCGGAUGUGCCCAGAUGGGAUUAGCUAGUAGGUGGGGUAAAGGCUCACCUAGGCGACGAUCCCUAGCUGGUCUGAGAGGAUGACAGGCAACACUGGAACUGAGACACGGUCCAAAUUCCUACGGGGGGCAGCAGGGGGGAAUAUGGCACAAGGGGCGCAAGCCUGAUGCAGCCAUGCCGCGGGUAUGAAGAAGGCCUUCGGGUUGUAAAGCACUUUAAGUUGGGAGGCGUUACCAACAGAAUAAGCACCGGCUAACUGCGUGCCAGCCGCCGCGUAAUAC